AUGGUGUCCCCCACCCAGCUCCUGGGCUUGUUAGUACUCUGGAUCUCUGGUUCCCAGGGACAAAUUGUGGUGACUCAGUCUCCAACCUUAGUGUCUGCAUUUCUGGGGGAGACUGUCAAUAUAACCUGUAGAACCAGUAAGAGUGUGACUCAGGAGGGAGGUUAUCAUUCUCUCCACUGGUAUCAGCAGAAGUCAGGACAAGCUCCUAAACUGAUCAUGCACGGGGCAUUUAAUCCCAUCCCUGGCCUCUCAUCCAGGUUCAUAGGCUAUGAUGAAACUUUCUUUGGAGAUGAUUUUACUCUCACAAUACGCAAUGUGGAAGCUGAAGAUGUUGCAGAUUAUUAUUGCCAGCAAGGCUAUAGCCGCCUGUACCACAGUGUUUCAACCUUGAAAAAAAAGCCCCCAUAG